rnacentral:lncRNA from 1 species
UUGAGAGGCCUUAGAUAUUAGAUGAAGUGGAACUUUUAACCAUGAAGAAUCGAUAUCUAUCUACCUUAUAUUGUUGGCUUAUUUUCAACCAUUCCUCAUGAUUUAAAGACUCUUUUAAUUCCAGAAGGAACAUAUCAAUUUUAAUGUUUGUGGUCCAUGUAAUAGACACUGCUUACCAUGUAAUAUCAUUUUCCUGUUUUAAUUAAGGCAUGUAAGCAAGGAAUGUGUAGGAACAGUUACCAAGAUCUAUCUUAUGUUUUAUGAAGGUGGAAUGCAACAGAAACGCUGGAGAAGCUGCGAGGCAAGAGGCUGAUGUUUGUUGGUGAUUCUCUAAACAGAGGCCAAUGGAUAUCCAUGGUAUGCCUCAUACAAUCUGUGGUUCUGGCUGACAAGAAAUCAAUGUCACCCAAUGCUGCCUUAACCAUAUUCAGGGCAGAGGUGAGCUGAAUUAUUUGUAAUUGUAGUCCCUUCUUUUUUAGAUGAGAUGACAUAAGCAUACGACAAUGUUUAUGAUCUGAAAAGAUAGAAUAGCUCCAUGAUGAUCCUUCAUUACACAACUGUCUGAAGCAGGGAGGGGUUCACUUUAUGUGACAACAGUAUCAUGAUUUGCAUGCCAUGAAGCAUUGAGUAAUUUUCAAUGAUUAACUGGCAUAUUUCUCUGUUCAUACAGAAUAAGCUAUGUUGAUAUAGAGAGGUACUGCAUAAUUAUCAAUUACUUUCAUUACAGUAUUAUGUUCAUACCUAUCUGUUGCUCUAUUUAUAGAGCAAAUAUUUUGUUUUUCCUAUUGGUCUCACAAGCUCGCAAGCUGAAGUUUGCAUAAUAACGCACUCUUUAGUUCUCUCAUAUUUGGGGCGCAUGUGUUUGAUGAACAGGCAAUGAUUGGGUCUGAAGUGGAAAUUGGCAGUCAUAGUAUCCUAAUUGUGAUUGUUUGUUGUGCAGGAAUACAAUGCUUCAGUUGAGUUUUACUGGGCACCGCUGGUUGUAGAAUCAAAUUCUGAUGACCCAGUUAACCACAGAUUUGAUGACCGGAUCAUCCAACCAGAUUCAAUUCUCAAACAUGCAUCUCAGUGGGAGAAAGCAGAUAUUCUUGUUUUUAAUUCAUACUUAUGGUGGAGAAGUGGUUCAAAGAUAAAGUUACUGUAAGCUUAAUUCCAGAACUUGCUCAUAUAUUAAAUUACAAAAAAAGGAUGUAAGAUGGCAUAGUUUUUGAUGUUUGUUCAUAGUUUUAACGCAGAUGGAAUAGGGAUGAUGUGAUUUGUGAAGAAGCCAAUGGACUGGAUGCUAUGAAGUUGGCCUUAGAGACAUGGGCAGAUUGGGUUGCAUCCAGUGUUGAUCCCCUGAGACAGAAAGUAUUCUUUGUUACCAUGUCACCUACCCAUCUCUGGUGAGUUCAUAGAUUGUAUUUGCAGAUAGCAUGUCAUAUAGUGUUACUUAUGAUACUUAAGAAGAUUACUAAUGAUAUUAAGAUUGGCAAAGUAUGCUAUCUUAUAUUUGGAACUAGACCAUUAAAUUACAAAUUUAUGAACCACGGGCAUUAUGAAUAUCAUAGGACAAUAUGGUACUCCACUAUAUCAUUUUAAAAGAUUAACCCAUUUUACCAAUCUUUCACAUGUCCUGUUUUAUAGAAUGAUAUAAUCAUUAAUGCUUGUUGCAGCUGUAUAGAGAACUUUUGAAUCCUUAUUCGGCCAUCAGUCCUGUGAAGGGCAGCCUCUGGUUAUACUCUUUAGCUUUUCUAAAUACUCUCUGACUGCUUUAGUUGAUCUUUAAUCAGUCUAUAAAAUGAUAUUAUUACCUAUGUGGGUUUUGGGAUAUUUAGUUUGCCAAGGAUUUUGAAACUGCAUGCUUAACCUCAAUCUCAUCUUUUCCAGGAGCCAGGAAUGGAAUCGAGGAAGCGAAGGUAACUGCUUUCACGAGAAAACUCUAAUUGAAUCAGAAGGUUACUGGGGAAGUGGGUCUGACCUUGAUACCAUGCGAAUGGUAGAGAGCAUAUUGGACAGGUUGGGGCCAAAGGUUUUGGUUAUCAACAUUACUCGGCUUUCGGAGUACCGAAAAGAUGGGCAUCCAUCAAUCUAUAGGAAGUUCUGGGAGACGUUGACCCCCCAGCAACUGGCGAAUCCUGUUAGUUAUGCUGACUGCAUACACUGGUGUUUGCCUGGCGUACCUGAUAUUUGGAAUGAGUUGUUGUUUAAUUUUUUGUGAGCUUUGCAUACAAUAUGAUUGGUAUCUACCUUUGCGAACAAUCACGUUAGGGAGUAUAAUUUCUACAUCAAUGGAAAUGCUGCAAUGAGUUGCCAUGUGAGGGUCACUUGAUGAUGCAUUCUGAAGGUUAGUAUAUCGAACAUAUAUACUUAAUGUUCUUUUAGUGGCUGCAUGUGUUCCGGACAUGUGGUAUACUGCUAAAUACAAUUAGCACUCAGUUGUCUUCAUGCUGUGAUACAAAAAAACAUGAAUACUGAUUGGUUCCUUAGAGUUGGUUUGGCGAUUUUAACAUGUUCAUUAGGGUUGCAUAUUCUGGUUGUAUCUAAUGCAUGCUUAGAGUCGAUUUGUUAUUUGAAAACAACAAAAAAGAAAAAUCUGUAGAAUGGAUGAAUAUUGUCUCCAUAAAUAUCUGUUUAUACUAGUACAUGAUCUCUUGUUGAUACCAUCGGCUUCUAUCUCCUUGCAUCUGAAUCAAGCAACUGCACCUUCACUCAUUUGUAUUCGUAGGUGCAAAGACCAUGCAUCAAUUCUUUGUGCCACCACCGACGGCAAAAUGUCCAAAAGGUUGUUUGCCUCAAAAUUCAGUUCCACUGCCAGUGAAGUAAUGUGAUCAGAUCCUAUGUGUAAACUGGCUUCCUGCCCCACAUGAGAUGUCGACCAUAAGACCUCUUAUUGUAUAAAGGAUCUGCUCAUCAAACUGGGGAAAAAUAUCCUGCCUUGGGAUCAAGUAAAUGUAAAAUAUAUGAAGUCAGCAGGUUGGAAGCAAGAGCUUGGAGUACCUUACUGGUCAUCUCUAGGUCAAACAGGAAGACAAAACCAAGACCAUUAAUUCCUUCAGGAUUGAAAACUGAAGGAUAUGAAUGUUUCAUAUCUUUCAUUUUCUUUGCUGCAAGAACUUGGGAACCCAAGCAGGAAGUGGGUGUGAGUGGGUUUGCAUGUGGUAAGAGAGGGAGCAAACUUCCAAAUAACAUAGUUUAUGGAAAUGCCUUCUGUAAUGAUAUAAUAGGAACAUAUCAAUUUGAUUAUUGCUAGAUCAACUUUGAUGAGAUAGAGAAGGCACAUGCAAAGGAAAAGGUGAGAUAGAGAUUUAAAUAGUUAGAAAAUAAAUGACAUUGCUAGAUCAACUUUGAUGAAAUAGAAGUAAAAUCGAAGACGUUUGUUCUCUCGAGUCUCGAUCAUGGGCACAAUGAAACAGGAGACAGUGGGAGCAAGAUUCUUGAGAGGGUCUGGCAGCUAAUUAGGAAGUCCCAGAUACCUAUGUUUGACUAGAAAAUCCUGCUGUAUUGAACUUUUUUUUUCUUUCAAACUGAAGUAAUGUUAAAUAAACUAUGAUCGUGAAAUUGGUAACACAUGCAUACAGAUCCUUGCAUCCACUUUUGGUGUUUGGUGAACAUGACAUCCUAUAGCCACUCGUCCAUUUUCCAUGAAUUUAUACUGCAUAAAAGACAAUAUGUUAAAGAGGAGAAAACCGAAACGCUGCCUCAUAUUCUGAUGAUAAGUAAAAUGAGACUAUGAUGGCCAUGGAAAAAUUUGCAUGAUCACAGAGCAGGAUGAUAUGGACAAUCUCUUAGUUAUAUAAUUAUGAUGCAAUGAGAUUCCAUAAUAGAUAUAUAUGAAUGUGGAAGCAAAAAAAUAACUCGCUUGUUAUAAUAGUUAGCUAUUUCAAUAUCCUUGUUUUCCAUGACCACCAAGGAUACAUAUACAUAAAACCCUCUCCUGAAGCUUCUAAAUAGCCUGCAUAAGAGCAAAAUAUAUUACAGAGAAAUUAUAUAUAUUACAAGCAACCCCAUGCAAAAUUAAGAUAGUCUUUCUGAAAAUUCUAGUUCUCACCGAAUAUGAUAUUUUUGCCCUUUUCUGAGCAGAAUCUGCUGCCUCCUUGAGAUGAAAACUACUGGGAAGGUUGUGGAAAACACUAUAUAGAAUUUUCUAUUGCGUCUCCUGCCAAAAAAUGAUUAAUUUGGUCUCUUGCUCACUUGACAAGAUUACAGAAGCCGAACCUCUGGAGGAAGCAUAUGGCUUAUGUUACAUAAGAAGAUAUUCAGUGGCGGUCAAGUCAGUAGUCUUGCUAAUUUGAAGGGGAAAAAUAUUCAUACAAAUGGAUAUUGUCGAAAGCUUCAUGUAAAGAGCCACCAAGGUGGUAGCACGGUUGGAACGGGACUAAAAUUCUACCGGAGUGGCCCAGGUUCGAAAUGCAUGGGCAUCGAUUAAAUGUGGGGACCGGAUGUCCCUUGUUUGGUCAGUCUGGUGGAGUCGCCAUCUGGUCCGCCGGUACUGAGAUGGCGCUGAGGUGACGUACUCACAUGUGGGGCAACCCAUAUGUUGAGGAGGGUAUGAGUAAGAAUGGCCAUUCUGUCUACUCACAUCGAACAUUUUCUGCUGGAAGAGGGGCCAGUAGGAGCCGCUACGCCAGCGGAAUUUCACCUCCCCCCUCCUAUCUUUUAGUGGAAAAAAAAAAAAGCUUCUUGUAAAGUAUGUCAUCCUUAAGAUACUUGAAUAACCUGUGACUUUCUAACCCGUAGCAUCAAGAUGAUUGGAAAUAUUUUAAAUCUAUGCAUUACUUGAAGAAAUAAUUGGAUGAAACAACAAAGAGGAGUACCCACAGUCAUCAUGUAUUCAGUGUUUUAGAAUCAUCCAAUUCUAGUUUUAAGAGCAAUGCUGAUAUAUAUUUAUGUGUUUGAAAAUAUGAUAAAUCUUCUAUACAGACAAAUGGCCCAUUACAUACUGUGGUUCCUGAAAAGGUAUGGCUGAACAGUGCAGGUGAAUCAUUGUCAAUAAUGGGUGAAAAGAAGCUGACAGCAAGCGGACAAUCAUAUUGUCCUUCAGGUAGAGACUCCAAACAGCAAUGUGAAUCCAUCAGUCAUCAAAAUCCACUGCUUUUUCUGGCAUCCAGAUAUAUAAACCUCUCCCAGAUGCAAGAUUAUAGCUGCAAUAUCGAAGUCACUGGAAGGAAUAAUAAGACAAAUUUAUGAAGGGAUCCUAGCAAGGGAAGAAAAAAGAAAGCCAAAUUGCACACGCCACAUCUUAAGCUGAUAACAAAUCACAUUUGUCCCUAUCUUCCAUUUAAAAUUUAUAAAUAGGUUCUUAGAACAAAAGCAAAUGUAUGAAAAGACUGUCAUCAUUAAUCUCUGUGAGCUCUAUAUUAUACUAGUUGUGGUGUAGGUAUAAUUGCAUGUGGCCGCUAAAGAAUUUAGAUGUAGGAUAGAUCAAAGAAUCUAGACAUGGGAUGGAUUUUUGAAGGGAUAUAGAUCAUGUUAGAGACCAGUAACCGACUAUUGAAAUGAAGUGAAUUGGGAUCAAGAAUUCAAGCAUAAUAUGAGAUGUCAAUAGUUUUAUAAUUUUGUCACACUAUUUAAUUAUCCCAAAACUUAAAUCUUUCUGAUCCGUCAAAAUAUGCAGUCAAGUAAAAUCUAGUAACACCAUAAAAAAUGGAAAGGUCAACUAGCACUUAUGUUCACACAACCAAAUUCCGGAAAUAUGUCUCCAUCUGAAUCUAUAUCAGGGAAGAAUAUAAAACUAAUGAGGAUAUGUUUGAAAAAUUCAUAAAAUUAGGCUGGAUUUUCUGUUGGAUCAUGAAUUAGAUAGUUUAUUUGAUAGAGGCUCAUAUCAACUCCAUACCUCCAACCCAAAUCCUAUAAGAAAAAAUUUAUUACUGUAGUCCAACGAGCUCAUAAAUAGAAUUUAGGCUAAGAUUAGGAUAUGCCUUUAAAAGAAAAUGGGCAGAGCAAACUGACAAGCUCAAAUUUUGUAAAAGAAUUAGUCUAAUUCUGCUAAAUUUUCAAAUCCUAACUUCUUGUCCAAAAGAUUUUCUCGUUUCUACUACACCUCAAAACAAUUUCUAAUAAUAUGCAUAAGACAAUACAAUCAUAGUGGUUUCUAAUAUAAACAAUUAAAUAUAUUUUUAUAUAAAUUUAUUUUCGAUGAUGGUUAACUAGUUUAGAAUUAGUUGUUUAGUUUUACUCAAAAAAAUUAAUAUGUCUAGCUACAAUGCAUAAAACCAGAUUCGAUUACCAUGGUUCAGUGUAAUGCAUUUCAGACUAAAAUGCAUGUCCAUAGUUUUAAAGCUCAAAAUCGUAUCACCAUUAAAAAAAAAGCAUUUCUACCUUUUUGUAUUUUUUUCCUUUUUCUUUUUAUAAACAAGUGUACUUUUUUUUUGUGUGGAUGGUAACGCACUUUCUAGAUUCAAAUUCAAUACUUUUCCAUCCGCAAUUCAAUCCACCGGCAACCAUGUUGACCAAGGGGACCCACAGGAGACCGGGCCAUCUCCAUCUUAGCUUGACCCGUCCCCUUUCCUCGCAUCAAUUCCUGUUCAAAUAUUAAAAAUAAAUAUAAAAAUUUCAAGCCUUCCUUGGCAAACGGAUAGGGUUGCUGACCACCGCACCCGUGCGACGUGUUAUUCUUACUCGCUCCUCGCGUUACUCGAUGCUUCGGGGUCAAGAAAGCGAUACGUAGCAGCGGCUCGUCGCGCUUCCGGAAUGUUCGGCGUACACGUGCCAACGGCUACGGCUGGUUCCUGGACACGGCACGGCCCACGUCACCCCGAUAUUUCCUGCGGCGUGAACCAGGCAAUCCCCUUUCGGAACCAUCCGGAUCGGCGAGUCCUAUAAAUAGAGGUGGCGCCCUCGGGUUCUCGAUGUUUCCUUCGUCGCCAAGCACCCAAGCACCCCAACUGUCUUCAGAAGAGCCGGGGAAAAAUUAUUAAAAAAGAAAAGAAAAAAAAACUCUGCCGAGAAGCCCUAUAAGAAACCCUAGAAGAAUACCGCAGCCGCCAAGAAAGGAAGACGCCCUAGAAGAAUAUCACAGAGAUAGAAGAAAAGACUAAGGGGAUCUAGAAGAAGAUCACAAGACGGGGAGAAGAGUAGAGAUGGCCGAGCCAGAGAGGUGAGAAAUCUUGUUCUAAUUUCUGUGAUUUGUUUUAGCAAACUAAUUCUAGUGAUUUGGAUUCUGUCUUUCUUUGCUCAAUCUGUUUUCGCUUGGCUUGCUAUUUCUUUUCUGUUUUUUUUUGUUUUUUUGAUCUGCGACGAGGGUUUGAGUUAUUUUGCUCCCUUCUUCCGUUACAUAGUGUUUAAUUUGAUAGGUUUUGUCGGGGAUUUGGGGGGUUUUAAGGUUGUUCUUUGAUCUGGGACCAGGGUUUGAGUUAUUUUCGUCCUUUCUUUACGUCCCAUAGUGAUCAAUUUGAUAGUCUUUGUCUGGGAUUUGGGGGUUUUUUAAGCCUUUACUUGUUUCGCGUGGAUCCUGGGGGCCUUGGGGUUUAAGCUUCGAGUUUGAUUUGGUUUUCAUGUCAUCAAGUUAGCUGGAUGCGGAUGUUCUUUUGAGGACCGGAGUUCUGGUCUUACUGAAGAGGGAAAACUAAUUCCAGAUUACCGAGUUGGGAAUGUUUCUUGAAACUGAGUAGAACCAGGCCUCCAUCUUAAGUGGUAAUCUAGACCGGUGUGUCAGAUUGCUGGUUCUGAAACUUUUAGGUAUUCGAUAGUUUUCUGCCCUCUGAUUGCCUGUGGUAGUUAUCAUCAUUUUAAAGAAAGUACACGAGGAAGAUGAUGAGGACGUAGCAGUUAAACUUUAUGCUGUGAGAGGUAGUAAAAGUUGUUAAUUCCUUGAAAACCUAAAAAUAAGAGGAAGGCUAUCAUAUGGAGAAAGUUGUAAAGUUCAUUGAAGAUGGGUUAUUGUUCGUGCCAUUGAUCCAACCUCCUCCCCCUUACGUUGGGGUGAGAUUGGGGAGUUGCAAGUUCACUGACAUUUGGUAGUUUGUCUCUUUUUCAAGAAGGCCCGUUAUGCUCAUCAAUCUAGGUAGAAUUUGCCAACCAGGUGUUCUUGCUUGUAGUUUACUUUAUAGUGCAGAUAGGUGUGGUUUUGAGAGACGAGGUUAUAGAGUUACAUGCUGUCCAGCCAUGGAUGAUUUGGGACUGUUUUGAGAUUCGAAAGAAACUGUGUUGAAUUUUCACUUUGCAGAGAUGCACGUUAAUAUGCAUUUUAUGCUGGUGGAGAGUGGCUGUCUAUUGGCUUAGAAGGAAGGGUUGAGAUACAUGUAUGACACAUGUUUGAUAAAGAAAAAUAAUCAGUUUGUGAUGAUUGACUUUCUAGUUUUGGUGACUCAAUCAUGCUCAAUGCUGUGUGUUAUAUCAAAAUGAUUAUGAAGAGAUGGAAGUACACGAGAUGUAUAUGAGUUGAAUUUCUAUGGUGACUUUCUUUAAACAUUCAUAAUAAGCAUUUGUGACUUGACUUUUUUCCUAAAGGGUUCUGGGACUGCAUGAAAACAUUUGUGAUGAGAUUUGACAUGGGAACAUGUUUGUAUUUUGAUAGUAAGAUCGACUUCUCAUUUCCAAAACAUUCUAAAAGUUGUGCAAUUGAAGUAGUGAUCAAUGAAAUCAUUUUGCUACAUAUGAUUCUAGGGAUGAGUGCUGAUUUAGAGAGACUUAUUGUCCAAAGGCAUGCUGAUGAAAAAUCAAGGACUAACUUCAAAAAUAAAGUUGUGUGUGUAAAGGUCAAAGAAAGUUUCCAGGAUCGAAGGAGGAGUUGGAAUAGGUAAUUCAUCAAGGUUUUAGAAUGUUGGGAUUGUGUAAAAUGAAUAUAGAUAUCCUCCUAAUCUCAGCGAAUGCAAGAUUGAGUGUACUCCUAGCAUGAUGAAUCUGCUUGUAGGUGAGGGAACAGUGCAUGUGCAGUGUCCUUUUUAUUUUUUAUUUUUUGCCCCCAUUACUUAAUGGUUGGUAGCAUAUGUUUACUUAAGAAGAAUGUGCCAUAGAAAAGACAGUAAGAAGUAAAGAAUGUUAAUGGAACACAAUUUCCUAUGAUCCAGCAAUUUACCUACUCUUCUGUUCAAUCUAAUAAGUUAUAACAAAGAGGUGCUGAACCUUGUCUCAUUGUCUUACAAUCCAAGUGGAUGACUUUCCUCUGACGUCCCUGAAGCCCUAUUUAGAGGGAAUGUUGAAGGGUAUGAAGGCAUAAGAUAUUUAACAAUGUUUUUGUGCUCUUGGAUGGUCACCGUAUGCUUUUCUAUGAUUUACCGUGCUUUUCUCUCA